rnacentral:rRNA from 1 species
GACGAACGCUGGCGGCGUGCUUAACACAUGCAAGUCGAACGGAAAGGCCCUGCUUUUGUGGUGUGCUCGAGUGGCGAACGGGUGAGUAACACGUGAGUAACCUGCCCUUGACUUUGGGAUAACUUCAGGAAACUGGGGCUAAUACCGGAUAGGAGCUCCUGCUGCAUGGUGGGGGUUGGAAAGUUUCGGCGGUUGGGGAUGGACUCGCGGCUUAUCAGCUUGUUGGUGGGGUAGUGGCUUACCAAGGCUUUGACGGGUAGCCGGCCUGAGAGGGUGACCGGCCACAUUGGGACUGAGGUACGGCCCAGACUCCUACGGGAGGCAGCAGUGGGAAUAUUGCACAAUGGGCGGAAGCCUGAUGCAGCAACGCCGCGUGCGGGAUGACGGCCUUCGGGUUGUAAACCGCUUUCGCCUGUGACGAAGCGUGAGUGACGGUAAUGGGUAAAGAAGCACCGGCUAACUACGUG